GCCCGGGUGGUGGAAUUGGUAGACACGCUACUUUGAGGGGGUAGUGACCGAAAGGUCGUGCAGGUUCAAAUCCUGUCCCGGGCACAA
rnacentral:tRNA from 1 species